rnacentral:rRNA from 1 species
AUUGAACGCUGGCGGCAUGCCUUACACAUGCAAGUCGAACGGCAGCACGGGUGCUUGCACCUGGUGGCGAGUGGCGAACGGGUGAGUAAUAUAUCGGAACGUACCUUAUUGUGGGGGAUAACGCAGCGAAAGCUGUGCUAAUACCGCAUAAUCCCUAAGGGGGAAAGCGGGGGGCCGUAAGGCCUCGCGCAAUUAGAGCGGCCGAUACCUGAUUAGCUAGUUGGUGAGGUAAAGGCUCACCAAGGCAACGAUCAGUAGCUGGUCUGAGAGGACGAUCAGCCACACUGGGACUGAGACACGGCCCAGACUCCUACGGGAGGCAGCAGUGGGGAAUUUUGGACAAUGGGGGCAACCCUGAUCCAGCAAUGCCGCGUGAGUGAAGAAGGCCUUCGGGUUGUAAGGCUCUUUUGUCAGGGAAGGAACAGCAGCUCUAACACAGUUUGCGAAUGACGGUACCUGAAGAAUAAGCACCGGCUAACUACGUGCCAGCCGCCGCGGUAA